UACAGAGGUCUCAAGCGUUGUUCGGAUUCAUUGGGCGUAAAGGGUGCGUAGGCGGUUUUGUAAGUCAGAUGUGAAAUCCCCGGGCUUAACCUGGGAACUGCGUUUGAAACUACAAGGCUAGAGUGUAGCAGAGGGGGGUGGAAUUCCACGUGUAGCGGUGAAAUGCGUAGAGAUGUGGAGGAACACCGGUGGCGAAGGCAGCCCCCUGGGCUAACACUGACGCUCAGGCACGAAAGCGUGGGGAGCAAACAGG
rnacentral:rRNA from 1 species